UGAGGAGUUUGGGCUCGCGCCGCGGCUUUGGCCGCCGCUGCUGGCAACCCCCGGCUCUGGGGUUGGCAAGCCCUGUUCAGCCGCCCGCUAGUCUGAUAGCGCAGAGGUUUCUCAUCCUAGGCAGAACAAUUUUCCACAUUUGGGAUGUUUGUAUUGUCCUCAUCUAGAAAGAAAAAUAGAAUCCAGAGCUCAGGAUUUAGUGGAUCCUUCACUAUUUUCUCAGGUGGCCCUGGUCCUGUUUCUUUUAUCUAACUGCAGUCCUUGGCCUUGACAUGUGGAUCUGUCUCCUCUCUACUUUAACUUCCUGGACCAGAAUGGAAAAGAUUUUUUCACUCCAUGAUCUACUUCUCAAAUCCAGCACAUUCAGGUUGUUCGGUGGCUUCCCACAGUGUGCCAUCUGGCUGACAUCAUGCCAAUUCUGCCAAGAAAAAAGAAGCAAUUGAUGUUGGUAUUUAGCUUCUAUUUGCUUAGAUGAGAAAAGGGAUUUUUUUUUUCAGAAAGAUAAAUAACAUUUAUGUUAAUGCCAGGUGCUUAGAUGGUGGCAUUUGUGAAUUCUUUGCCCUUUAUGCCCUAAAAGAUUAUACACAGCAAGAAGUCAAAAUGUCUGCAGGGGCCACUUGUAUCCUUCUCUUUGGACUAGUAUAAAAUUACAUUUUAUUGUAUUGUACAUGAAUUGUAUUCACAAUUACAGCAGGAAAUCUUCCAUUUCAAUAUGGAAAGUACAUUUCAGAAACUAAAAAUAUAUUUGAAUCCUAAUUCCACAAUACAGAUUUCUCUGUUCAGAGCAAGGGCCAAUUCUGCAGUUACCCAUGUGAUAUGAUAAGUAAAACAGCUCCUAUACGAUAUAAUAUUCCUGAAUUGAUUGUGUGUGUGAAGAAAACAAGAACAAAUACUUUUAUGCAUGGGUACAUCCACAUUUAUCAGAAAGAAGAAAGAUUUCUUCCAAGAAACAAAGUCUGGCUGCAUUUCCUUUCCCCUGGGUAUCUUUUGGUUGCUUCAUACCAUUUUAAGAUGUUUUUCUAUUUUCACAAGAAAGGAGUACAUCCCAUGAAUGCAUUCCUGGGUCUACAGGAGAACAUUUUCACUGAGUUUUGACUAAACAAGUUUUGAUCUUGCUAAGAGUGUCUUAUGUGAUAUAUAUAGCUUACUGUGUCAUCUUUCUGCCUUGUGGAGUGUUAUAGGACAUUGUGGAACUGGCUUUUCAUACUGUUGUGACCAAGAGUGAACUGCAACAAGGGGCCCGACACUGUAUACUUAGAAUAUCAGAUCAAACCUGCAGUUGGCUAUGAAUAUAGCAGAAUGGAAAAAGAGUGGGAGUAGGGAAGGUAUUUUCCUGUAUAACUCCUUCCUGAGAGAUGAAAAGCAAAAAUGUUUUGUGGGCCUCCAUCUGACUAAUGUAUCUGCAUGAUGUAGUGUCAUGGAACAUUUUCAGCUUAAGGUGGCUGUGUGGGUGAUUUCUGUAAGUGAAACUGUAGCAUCUCACCAGAGGGUGAGCCUCAAAAUAAUGCCCAUCAACCUGUGCUUGAAGCAGAAUGAAUUGAAAUCCAAAAGAAAUUUAGGAGCUAACCUCUGGCCUUCCAACUCUCCCCCCCCCCAAAAAAAAAAAGAAGAAGAAGAAGAAGAAAGAUCCACAAAGUGGUUUCCUAUCUGCAUUAGGCAAGGAAUAUAGACUAGUUUGUUUUCCUCUGGAGUCGGGGUGGGUGGUUAAGGAACAGAAAGGGACAAUGAAAACCUCUCUCUUGGCAGUUGAAA